GGCGGGGCCACCGCUGCCCUCCAGCUUUCCUGCUUCUUGUCUCGCACCGGCUUUCUCCUUCGUGCGUGACGAGUACUCUAAGAGCGCCGCCACCUGGCUGGUCUUCAACUCACGCAGUUCCUGUUCCGUAACAUCGCUGCACCACAUCUGUGUUUACUGCCGGCGAGGGCACUGCAGUUCCAUCUCAUUCAGUUCGAUGGUUGUAAACGUGUACCUACCGUCGCACCGGCUCUUGGUUCUUCAGUGGCGUUGGGGAGGCACGAGUCUCGAUACUCGCCGCUUCCUGUGACGAUCACUAGGUCACCUGCAGACACCUUGACGACGGUCUGACCUCCACUAACAGAAGAGAGACUCGUCGCUGAACACUGUAGAAUGCCACUCACUGUCUCAGUUGACUCUGGCUCUUCACCAUGCAGGCUCAAAUGUGACCAGCGAAAGAAAUUUCAGUGUGGCAUGGAACGUAAACUGCGAGGGACGAAGCAAACUCGGUGAGAAACGAGUCAUUUCACUGUAACUAUGCCAACAAG